UGGGGAAUAUUGGACAAUGGGCGCAAGCCUGAUCCAGCCAUGCCGCGUGAGUGAUGAAGGCCCUAGGGUUGUAAAGCUCUUUCACCGGUGAAGAUAAUGACGGUAACCGGAGAAGAAGCCCCGGCUAACUUCGUGCCAGCAGCCGCGGUAAUACGAAGGGGGCGUAGCGUUGUUCGGAUUUACUGGGCGUAAAGCGCACGUAGGCGGACUUUAAGUCAGGGGUGAAAUCCCGGGGCUCAACCCCCGGAACUGCCUUUGAUACUGGAAGUCUUGAGUAUGGUAGAGGUGAGUGGAAUUCCGAGUGUAGAGGUGAAAUUCGUAGAUAUUCGGAGGAACACCAGUGGCGAAGGCGGCUCACUGGACCAUUACUGACGCUGAGGUGCGAAAAGCGUGGGGAGCAAAACAGGAUUAGAUACCCUGGUAGUCCACGCCGUAAACGAUGAAUGUUAGCCGUUGGGGAGUUACUCUUCGGUGGCGCAGCUAACGCAUUAAACAUUCCGCCUGGGGAGU
rnacentral:rRNA from 1 species